rnacentral:SRP_RNA from 4 species
AGGAAGGCUGGGUGGACGGUCGCCUUGUCUAACCGGUCAGGGCCGAGAGGCAGCAGCCAGGGCUAGGUCAGGUCGGGUCGUCCAGUCUUCCGCUC